UCAGUUAUUCAGAUUCCGAUUAAUCAGCCUAACUGCCUAAGACAUUUUUUUAAGACAAAACUGUAAUUUUGGUCCAUAUGGUUAGCAAAAGUAUGGGGAUGGAGUCCAAAAAUUUUCCAACUUGCACCACAUAUUCAAAAUCAGAAAUUUUCUAUGGUUUUAGUCCCUUAAAAAGUUAAAAGGACUAUUUUGCCCUUUUAAUUUUUUUUUUUAUUUUUUGUAUUUGUUUUAACACCAGUUUAAUUUAAAAAUAAUACAAAAAACAAGAAUUGGCCCACCCUAUCCUCACCCACGGUAUCCCUACACCCUCCCACCNUCUCUCUCUCUCUCUCUCUCUCUCUCUCUCUCUCUCUCUCUCUCUCUCUCUCUCUCUCUCUCUCUCUUUCUUCAUCUUCUUCUUCCUUACUGCUAUAUUUCACAUCCUUCUCAUAGUUUUUUUUUUGUAACCAAGCCAUACUAGUUACAAAGAAAAGAUCAAACACACCUAUGUUGAUGUAUGCUUGGCUAAUGGGUUUUUUCAAUUUGAAGUCUGAUGAGAAGAACCCAAUAAUGAAUUUGGAUAAUUGAUCUUGUCUUGCACUUAAAGUGAAGAAGAAGAAAAUGGAGGUAAGGUUGGAUAAUAGAUUUUCUAGUUUCUUCAUCCAUUUUUUCAAGUUUGUGUUGAACAAAUUGGAGCCCUAAUAAUAUGUCAAGGAUGAACAAAGGGACUUGAAUCAAAAUGCAUCGAUCCUAAUAUUGCAUAAAUUGUAUCGCAUCGGGAAUAACCGAGGUUCGAGAACCCUUCUGUGGCUGUGAGGUUUCUUUGAUUUGAGGAACAUAGGAUGAAUCUGGGAUGAAAGCAAGAACACGAUCAUAGGAUGAAUUCCCUCCCCUCUGUGUUCUUUUCACUUUAUUACUCCCAUCCAUUCUUUCUGGUAGCAACUUAUCCACUCCACCGGAUGGAUAAAUCUCAAUUCAGAGAACAUGUAUAAGAAUGUUAAAUUUUCUUUUCUUUUAGCAAGAAGAGAAAAUCUUUAUUGCCUCAACAAUUUGUUUAAUGAAUGAAAACUCAUCAAGAAAUGCAACUCGUUUGAUUUUGUAGAAGAUCGUGAAGCAUGUCUAAACACCAGGAAGAGCUUAAAGAAUAUGAAGAAAGGUCUCAAAGGUGAAGAUUCUAGUUCAAGAGGUGAUGCAGAAUACUCUGUUAGUCAUCAUCAUUCAUCAAGACCCAAAACAACCAAUUUUUGAAAGAAACAAGAAAAAUGUUUACAGGUGGAGCUCGACACAUGGACCUCACAGCAGGUGGGAGGCUUUUUGGCGAGCAAGGGUGGUUUUACUGUGCAGUAAAGGUGAAUCUAUGGUGGAGAUGGUGAAAUUUGGUGGUUCUGGGUUUUCUUGGGAAUGUGUGUGUAUGUGAUAUAUAUAUAUAUAUAUAUAUAUAUAUAUAUAUAUAUAUAUAUAUAUAUAU
rnacentral:lncRNA from 1 species